rnacentral:rRNA from 1 species
CCUACGGGGGGCUGCAGUGGGGAAUAUUGGACAAUGGGGGGAACCCUGAUCCAGCCAUGCCGCGUGUGUGAAGAAGGCCCUCGGGUUGUAAAGCACUUUCAGUGAGGAAGAACGCCUGGUGGUUAAUACCCAUCAGGAAAGACAUCACUCACAGAAGAAGCACCGGCUAACUCCGUGCCAGCAGCCGCGGUAAUACGGAGGGUGCGAGCGUUAAUCGGAAUUACUGGGCGUAAAGCGCGCGUAGGUGGCUUGAUAAGCCGGUUGUGAAAGCCCCGGGCUCAACCUGGGAACGGCAUCCGGAACUGUCAAGCUAGAGUGCAGGAGAGGAGGGUAGAAUUCCCGGUGUAGCGGUGAAAUGCGUAGAGAUCGGGAGGAAUACCAGUGGCGAAGGCGGCCCUCUGGACUGACACUGACACUGAGGUGCGAAAGCGUGGGUAGCAAACAGGAUUAGAUACCCCAGUAGUC